rnacentral:rRNA from 1 species
CUACCAGAGUACUAUGAAUUAUUUUAAAAUUUAAAACUCAAAGAACUUGGCGGUGUUUUAGACCACUUAGGGGAACCUGUCUCGUAAUCGAUAAUCCACGUUAUACCUGGCCUUCUUUUGUUUUCAGCUUGUAUACCGUUGUCGUCAGGUAACUUUUUAGAAAUCAGAAGUUAGCUAUAAGAAGAAUAAACUAAAACGUCAAAUCAAGGUGCAGUUUAUGUGAAGGAGAGGAUGGGUUACAAUUAUAUAUUUAUAAUUUACGGAUGAUUGUAAGAAAUAUACAAUUUUGAAGGAGGACUUAAAAGUAAACUAGAUUAUAUAAAUAGUUUGAAUAAGGCUCUGAAACGUGU